rnacentral:lncRNA from 10 species
AAAAAAAAACAGUUUAAAACAGACCAGGCGUGGUGGCUCAUGCCUGUAAUCCCAACACUUGGGGAGGCCAAGGCAGGCAGAUCAUGAGGUUGGGAGUUCGACAGCAGCCUGGCCAACAUGGUGAAACCCCACCUCUACUAAAAAUACAAAAAUUAGCCAGGCGUAGUGGUGGUUGCCUGUAGUCCCAGCUACUCGGGAGGCUGAGGCAGGGGAAUUGCUUGAACCUGGGAGGUGGAGCUUACAGUGAGCCGAGAUCACGCCACUGCACUCGACCCUGGGUGACAGAGCAAGGCUCCAUCUCAAAAAAAAAAAAGAAAAAGAAAGAAAAGAAAAAAAAAAAGAAAAAGAAAACCACCACUAACAAACAAACAAACAAAACAGUUUAAAACAACAAAGACAUCAGUUUAAUCUCCCCCUAGUAACCAUUGAAAUACUAUACAGUAGCCCAUUCUCAUACCAGAUUGGAAAAGAUCAAAGAGACUGAGUAGAUAAAUGAACAAUGUUCUGCAGAGAGAACAUGGUCCUGGUGAAGCCGGGUCCCAGCGGCCCCCGGCCCCCUCGCUCCCCUCGUGUCUUCCUCCACUCUGCCACAGUCAUCACACCCAAAGCCAAAUGCCCAUCAACAACAGAACUGGCAAAGUGAGUGCCGGGUAUUCACGGGUGGGAUAGUGGACAGCAAUAGGAAUUGACCUGCAACCGUGAUAAACAGAAUGGGU